rnacentral:rRNA from 1 species
AGGGCACCACCAGGAGUGGAGCCUGCGGCUUAAUUUGACUCAACACGGGAAAACUCACCCGGCCCGGACACCGUAAGGAUUGACAGAUUGAUAGCUCUUUCUUAAUUCGGUGGAUGGUGGUGCAUGGCCGUUCUUAGUUGGUGGAUUGAUUUGUCUGGUUAAUUCCGAUAACGAACGAGACUCUUGCCUACUAAAUAGACGGCGUAUCGAAACGUACGUCGAGCUUCUUAGAGGGACAAGCGGCGUCUAGCCGCAUGAAACAGAGCAAUAACAGGUCUGUGAUGCCCUUAGAUGUCCGGGGCUGCACGCGCGCUACACUGAAAGAAUCAGCGUGCGCGAACGCCUGGUUCGGAAGGACCGGGUAACCCGAUGAAAUUCUUUCGUGCUUGGGAUAGGGAAUUGAAAUUAUUUCCCUCGAACGAGGAAUUCCCAGUAAAUGCGGGUCAUAAGCUCGCGUUGAUUACGUCCCUGCCCUUUGUACACACCGCCCGUCGCUACUACCGAUUGGAUGACUUAGUG